UACGAAGGGUGCAAGCGUUACUCGGAAUUACUGGGCGUAAAGCGUGCGUAGGCGGUUUGUUAAGUCCGUUGUGAAAGCCCUGGGCUCAACCUGGGAAUUGCAGUGGAUACUGGCAAGCUAGAGUACGGUAGAGGAUGGUGGAAUUCCCGGUGUAGCGGUGAAAUGCGUAGAGAUCGGGAGGAACACCCGGUGGCGAAGGCGGGCC
rnacentral:rRNA from 1 species